UACGGUGGGGGCAAGCGUUGUUCGGAAUUACUGGGCGUAAAGGGCUCGUAGGUGGCCAACUAAGUCGGACGUGAAAUCCCUCGGCUUAACCGGGGAACUGCGUCCGAUACUGGUUGGCUUGAGUUUGGGAGAGGGAUGCGGAAUUCCAGGUGUAGCGGUGAAAUGCGUAGAUAUCUGGAGGAACACCGGUGGCGAAGGCGGCAUCCUGGACCAACACUGACGCUGAGGAGCGAAAGCCAGGGGAGCAAACGGG
rnacentral:rRNA from 1 species